rnacentral:lncRNA from 1 species
GCGGGCGCGGCGGCGCGGGGCCCGGGGUGUAAGGCUUGGGCCUGAGGUCCCGCCGGUCUCGGCGCCGCGCACCCCUUCCCGGCGGGAGGACGCGACCCUGCCUCACCCGCGGCCCAUUCUCGGGGUGCCGGCGUGGCCCCAGGCUGCACCCCAUGCACGGCUUACCGGACGCGAGCCGCGCCUGCCCAGGAGCCCGCUGCCCCCUCCGCUCUGCGGCUGAGACCACCCGCCCCUCCCUCCAAACCAGCGUCACGUGGUCCCGUUUCCCAGAGCCGCCUGCACGCACAGGAAAGCAACUGUCUUUCUCAGCAUAGAACCAGUAAAAUUGCUGGGACCCUGGAGGGGACUCGAUCAGCUCAGUAUUUGUACUUGUUAAUUUGGUCAAGUUCUCUAGUCCUUAAGGCAACUGAUAUUUUCUAAUUUGAGUGUUGUAUAUUAAGAUGUCGGCCUCGUUUCCUGUCGUUCAUAUUUGCCUGGGCUCACUUUGCACGAAGCCUGCCACAGCAGCUGUAGGGCUGUGGCUCCAAACGCAAGCCCCACUGACCACCAGCCCCAGCUGCUGCCCUUGGGAUCCCCCUUGGUAUUAAAGCAUGGCCACCUCCUCCUGGCCACUCCCAGUCAAAGGUGGGGUGCAGCAGGGUCCUCGUGCUGACCUUUCCCGCCCACUGCCAACUCCUCUGCUGGACAGUGCCAUCAGGACCUGAAACAGCCUGGCCAGGACCUCUGGGAAAGGGACCCUGGCCUGGGACCAUCCACCCCGGCCUCCUCCAGCAUCUGUCUCCAUGCGCUGCCUCCUGUCAAUCAUAGGCACAACCCCCACCUCAGCCCAUCUCAGCCUCCGCUUCUCAGAGGGCUGCUCACGCUCACCCUGGGAACGUGUCUCUCUCCAUGUCCUCAGGGGCCCAAGGCAGGACAAAGGCACAGGUCCAGGACACAGAGCGGCCUCCAGGGCUCGAGGACCCUGCUCCCCUCUGUCCCAAGGCCUCUCUUGCUCUGCACUUGCUGUGUGGGGUGUUUCUGAUUUGCUAUUUGAUGUCAUUCUUAGUAAAGAAAAAUUAAAAUUUUGACAUUGCUAGCAUGAGUUUUACCCUUCAUUUUUAAAGUGUAGAGUGCCAUUGUAGAUGCACAGAUAAGAGCAGAAACAUGGAGAUUCCAC